AUUAAAUGAUGAAACAAAGACACACAAACCUGAAUUUAAUGUGGAAAUCUCCUGCAGUACUGAGUUU
rnacentral:snoRNA from 1 species